AACGAACGCUGGCGGCGCGCCUAAUACAUGCAAGUCGAGCGAGAAGGUGUAGCAAUACACUUGUAAAGCGGCGAACGGGUGAGGAAUACAUGGGUAAUCUACCAUCGAGUGGGGAAUAACCAACCGAAAGGUUGGCUAAUACCGCGUACGCCUCCGAGUCUUCGGGUUCGGAGGGAAAGCUGCACUGUGAGUGUAGCGCUCUUUGAUGAGCUCAUGUCCUAUCAGCUUGUUGGUAGGGUAACGGCCUACCAAGGCUUUGACGGGUAGCUGGUCUGAGAGGACGAUCAGCCACACUGGCACUGCGACACGGGCCAGACUCCUACGGGAGGCAGCAGUAAGGAAUAUUGCGCAAUGGGCGAAAGCCUGACGCAGCGACGCCGCGUGGGGAUGAAGGUCUUCGGAUUGUAAACCCCUUUCGGAGGGAAGAUGGAGCGAGCAAUCGUUCGGACGGUACCUCCAGAAGCAGCCACGGCCAACUUCGUGCCAGC
rnacentral:rRNA from 1 species